CCUCAGCUCUUCCAGAAGAAAGACCACGGGAGACACAAGAUUAAGGUUCUCUUUCUGGCUCUUCUCCUUGGUCUGGUUUGUGCCGCCCAAGAAGAGGAAGCUGAGCAAAGUCUCUCAGAGAAAGAGUCACUGAGACCAGACACGUCAUCUUCUGCGCGGAAUCAAGAUCAACAACAUGAAGACGACUUUCCUGGUUCCUGAUGAAUGUGAUCCUUCUCUCUUCACACUCAUACUUCCUCUCC
rnacentral:lncRNA from 1 species